GUUCUCUUAUACCUUUGAACUUGUACUUAGUCCUAUUUUGUUUAUUUCUAGCAAGGAAGUGAGCUGUGAACAAAAUGCUUGACUUAUCGCUAUUGGUAUGCUCCUUUAUCUCUUGGAUGAUAGUGUAUCCAUCCAUAAUCACUCUAUUGAAAGUUGCUUCCUAGUACACCUCCUAGUAGCCAUAAUCUAUACUGUUAUACAAAGCACAUAGAUCUUCGAAGUUUUGUCUCGAUUUUUCUUAUACCUAAAAUACCUCUUUUAGAUCUAACUGCUUCAAACUUAGUAACUGCCAUGCAGUGUAUUUCAUGUGCUACAUGUGUUUUAUGCAUUCUUUAUUUUUUACAAUCUUAUUAUUGAUUAGGUUUUUAACUUGCGAACUUUCUUUCUUGGGGACUUAUUUUUGCCAGAAACAGGGUAAGGCUGCAUACACCUUACCCUCCGUAGUCCCUGCUUUAGUGGGAGUUUUGUGCACUGGGUUGCUUUCUUUAUCCCACUGCUAAUGUGUGUUUGUGUGUGUGUUCUUGUUUUGUAAACCCGGGACUUGCAAUUAUGUCUCCUAUUUUGUAAAAUGCUGUGUCAUGUUUACCAUUCCAUGCUGGUGUUGAAUUUGUGUAGGUCACAGCACAUGACAAAGCCCAGAAAUACAAAGAAGGAAAAUAUGUACUUGAAAGAUGGAGGAUAGUUGAGGAGGGCAUUGAUGAAGUCAAUGCGGAUGCUCGGCUGAGUUUAAGUGAUGCAGAGAAUGCUUAGCAACUUGCUACUUCUCAAGUGAGUAAUAAUAUACCAAAGGCAUGACAGUAUGAGGGCUAGUGAUGAUUAUUGUGUUUUGUUGCAUACCUAUUUGAGUAAAUGAUAUAUAAAUAGAAACUGUACACGUAAAAUAUAUACAAAAUAAUGUGGUAGAAGAUGCUUCUUAAUAUCAAAACUGCCACUGAUAAAUCAUUCUGGCAAAUGAUUUGGUAUUAAAGUUAUGGAAGAAUAGCAUUUUCCUAUGUAUAUUUGUAUGUAUUUAUUCUUAGGGGCUUGCCAACCAUUUUGAGAAGCACCGCUUGCGCACGAAAGUCUUUUUUCUUUCUCAGAAAACAUGGAGUUUAGUAAAGUUUAAAUUGGCCUCAGGGAGUUCUAAAGUGAAACUCUAAUCUCGCACUGUACAUGGUAACAUGAUUUUCUCAUGAAAAUAGAGCUCAACUGAAGUUCAAUUAUUUUA